rnacentral:rRNA from 1 species
CAUGCAGUCGAACGAUGAUGCCCAGCUUGCUGGGUGGAUUAGUGGCGAACGGGUGAGUAACACGUGAGUAACCUGCCCCUGACUCUGGGAUAAGCGUUGGAAACGACGUCUAAUACUGGAUAUGAUCACUGGCCGCAUGGUCUGGUGGUGGAAAGAUUUUUUGGUUGGGGAUGGACUCGCGGCCUAUCAGCUUGUUGGUGAGGUAAUGGCUCACCAAGGCGACGACGGGUAGCCGGCCUGAGAGGGUGACCGGCCACACUGGGACUGAGACACGGCCCAGACUCCUACGGGAGGCAGCAGUGGGGAAUAUUGCACAAUGGGCGAAAGCCUGAUGCAGCAACGCCGCGUGAGGGAUGACGGCCUUCGGGUUGUAAACCUCUUUUAGUAGGGAAGAAGCGAAAGUGACGGUACCUGCAGAAAAAGCACCGGCUAACUACGUGCCAGCAGCCGCGGUAAUACGUAGGGUGCAAGCGUUGUCCGGAAUUAUUGGGCGUAAAGAGCUCGUAGGCGGUUUGUCGCGUCUGCUGUGAAAUCCCGAGGCUCAACCUCGGGCUUGCAGUGGGUACGGGCAGACUAGAGUGCGGUAGGGGAGAUUGGAAUUCCUGGUGUAGCGGUGGAAUGCGCAGAUAUCAGGAGGAACACCGAUGGCGAAGGCAGAUCUCUGGGCCGUAACUGACGCUGAGGAGCGAAAGCAUGGGGAGCGAACAGGAUUAGAUACCCUGGUAGUCCAUGCCGUAAACGUUGGGCGCUAGAUGUAGGGACCUUUCCACGGUUUCUGUGUCGUAGCUAACGCAUUAAGCGCCCCGCCUGGGGAGUACGGCCGCAAGGCUAAAACUCAAAGGAAUUGACGGGGGCCCGCACAAGCGGCGGAGCAUGCGGAUUAAUUCGAUGCAACGCGAAGAACCUUACCAAGGCUUGACAUACACCGGAAACGGCCAGAGAUGGUCGCCCCCUUGUGGUCGGUGUACAGGUGGUGCAUGGUUGUCGUCAGCUCGUGUCGUGAGAUGUUUGGGUUAAGUCCCGCAACGAGCGCAACCCUCGUUCUAUGUUGCCAGCGGGUUAUGCCGGGGACUCAUAGGA